CAACGAAUGCCCGUAAUCUGUCACCAACGGAGAAUGCGAUCUUCAACUGUGUCACAAAUGGAGGCCUCGAUUUCUCCGAGGACUUGAAGAUGAAAUAUCUGGAAAAGAAUUUGUUAGUAUUAGUGAUUGUUGUGUAGCUGAAAAGAAUGUUAACCAUUUAACAGUAGUAUUUGAUUUAUUUUCUGGAAUCUUAUGUCAACCUAUAUAGAAUAAAAUGUAUAAGAUUGAAUAUGAAAUUGCUGGUUUCUCAACUAGCUACCUGUUUAUCAAAUCCAAGCUACAAACAAGCAAGAUUCUACUGCUAUUUCCCAUUACUUAAAGCAGCAACUCCCAAUAUUCAAACACAAGAAAAUUUCCCAACUCCAUGCAAAUAAAUGUUCAUUUAUGAGGAAAUGGAACAAGUUGCAAACUGGUAUCCACAUACUCUUCAAUCAACAACACAAUAAACAUACCAACAGCAAAUCAAACAAGGAAUAUGGAAUUUUGUUGGUGAAACUCAAUCUUACUGUGAAUUAUGAAGAAAGGUUGAGUAAAUUAAUACACACUCAUUCCUUCUUCACCUCCUCACUCUUUAGAAGCACCUCAAACACAAAUCUUUUCUCCUCCUACUUUCUUGAGAAUCAUAAUCAGCUGUAUAAAACACGAAAAAGAUUAAAUCAAAUUCACUGGAAAAAUUGUGCUAGUCAAACUCCACAUAUACAUGUAUAAUCUCAUUGACAGUUAAAAAGGAUUGUUUGUGCAUUUUGAGAUGAACUGUGUAAAAUAAGUUGAUAUACUAAAAAAAACUAGGCACUAGUAGCAACAGAGUGGAAACAAUACGACUUAAUAUUUUGUUUGAGACGGGGAAGGAGUAACAUACUCAAUCUAGAAACUCGAUUCAUUAGAAAAGAUAAUAGAUUUUACUAUGAUCAACUUCUGACUGUUAUAUAUAUGUAACUGUUUCUAUGAAAUAAACAAGAGAAAUUGAUAGUUACCAGCUUUGGGCUUGGAGGCAUCAAUGGUGAUGGAGAGGAUAUGGCCGUGGGAGAUAUUGGGCCAUUCAGAAUCACUAUCACUGUCUCGUUGAGUCACUAUUCCUGGGCAACCCUCAAGAGUUAACCGUUGUGAUCUAUAACUCUUGAGAGCUAAAAACACGCACACAUUCCACGUCUGGGGAUAUGCUACUAGAAAUUUCACCCUCUGAACAACAAUGUACGCAAAUAUUUUGCCACUACUUUUUGGAUAGGAAUUCAUUCCUCCCUCAAACUAUUGUGUCACACAAGCUGCUGAGAGAGAUGAUUACGGAAAUGUUAUAGUGUUAGAAGAACCUAACUCAGAAGAGACGAGAUCGCCCAUCACACAACUCAUAACAUUUCCAUAAUCAUUCCUCUCUGCAACUUGCAAUAAAGAACAACUCAUAACAUUUCCAUAAUCAUCUCUCUCUGAAACUUGUAAUAAAGUGUUGUGUACAAGGAUGUUGAUAAAUUUUUCGCCCAAAAACUCCAUCUCAUUGCAUCCAAUCACCUUCGAAGAAAACCUUCUACCAUCCAAUGCUCAUCUCAUUGCAUCCAUCACCUUUGAAGAAAACCUUCUGCCAUCCAAUGCUCAAUCAGUUCAAUUUGCCCAUCUUUAGGAAAAUUGAACACAAAGCACUUCUUAAGUGAUGGUGGAUACAAACUAGGUCAAUAUUUUUGUGAUAUUAUCUCCUUCAACGCGCCAUCGAUUGCAAGCCAUUUUCUUAUCAGACUUAUUCCGCAGAACUCCUCCGACUACCUUGGCAGUUGAUGGCAAACCUUGACAUCUUUUUGCAAUCUUUGUCCCUUCGAUACGAGAGAACAUCGUCUUUUCCAAAGGUUUUUGCUUUGAUUAUUGACCAGCAAUCUUCCUCUGAUAACCCUAGUGGUAACAACAAUGCAUUUCCCUUAGUAGAAGUAACCCCGGUCAAGAGUCAAUAAAAUCUUUCCAUCUUGGAAGAUCUCGAAUCCAUACAUCAUCAAGAACAAGUAGAUCUUGUCUAUUCUGAACUGGAUCAGAAGUCAACUCUCCGAGGAUUUUCUUGAAAAGAAUGAUUGGAUCAAAAGUUUGAGUAACAUGCACCCAAAUAUGAGAUCCAAAUUUGUCUUACCCAUUCCACCCAUUCCCACAACAGCAAGAAUCGAGCAUCUCAACAAUUUCAUUUCGGACACGACAUCAUCUCUUCCAAUAAAAAUUGGAUCAAGAGUGAAGGAGGAAUCGGUUUCAGAAGUAGCAUCAAGCAAAGUGGGCACAAGGGCAAGCCUCCCAACGAGGCCAAGCUCGGUUGCCUCUUUGUUAAUGGACUCCAAAAUCCCAUUGAUUUUUCUUAUUCUAAGACCAAUUUUUCGGAGACGAGCAAUAUGAUUGAAGGUUGAGAAGCAACAUAGUACCUUUUUCUUGAUGGGCUUAAUUUUGUUGGAGAGAAGAUGAUAGUUGACUUCAUCCAAAACACUGUGAGCAUCGAACCCCACGUUUUCAAGCUUCUUCAGCCAGCUUUUGAUUGCCUCACCGUCACCGGAAAUUGUACGCAUCUCUACGUCGACGCCUCGGAUUAACGAGAUCUCAUCCUUGGACAGCUCGAUGAGGUUUUGAGCUUGAACGAUGGCGGCGGCAGCUUAUCUUUCACAGAAGAUAUAGUAGGAGUACCUUUUUUUAUACAAUAAAUUAAUUGUCGUUUUGUUACAUUUUCCAAUUCUUUGCCGACAACUUUUUAUUUUUUAUUUAAACCUCAUUUGACAAGCA
rnacentral:lncRNA from 1 species